rnacentral:lncRNA from 1 species
AAAGUGAAAAUGAGCUCAAGGCAGGUUUUGUUAUGAAACUCCCUGGAGUUUAGAAGUUUUGGGUUAGGUUGGUUUGUUGUUACUUGUUCGUUUUUCUUACCUGCUUCUCCUGUGAUCAGAACUAGAUGAAUGACUUUUCCCUUUGCAGCUCCCCAGGGCUGCUGAACACCGCUGCACCAGCAGAGUUGCAGGUAGUGAAGCAAAGGCUGUCUUCCUGCGUCUCCUCAAACUGCAAAUGUCAACAGUGCAUUCUUCAGCAAAGCAUUCCCCCUCCAUCCUUUUGCAGUCAUCAGGCUGUUUCUUCAGGUCUGUUUAGCACACACAGCACAUCCUUCUUCAGCCCUCUUCCUACAAAGCCACAUAUGUUCUCUGAAGGGAGAAAUUAGG